CCAGGUUCUGUGAGGACGAUGUCAGAAGCACUUCUGGCAGCAUCUGUAGCAUCAGCAACAGCUAUUCCAAUAUCUGCCUUCUUCAAAGCUGGGGCAUCAUUAACACCAUCUCCUGUCAUUCCACAGAUGUGCUUCCUCUCCUGCAGCCUCUUAACAAUUUCGUAUUUAUGUUCUGGAAAAACUCCAGCAAACCCAUCAGCCUUUUCAAUCAACUCAUCUACAGGGAGAGCCGCAAUAGAAGCAUCUUUGUCUUGGCCAAGCAAUGAAGAAGAUGGAUACAUGUUUGUUCCCAUUCCAAGCCUCCGACCAGUUUCCUUACCAAUGGCAAGUUGAUCCCCGGUAAUCAUUUUAACAUUCACACCAAGGUUGAGAGCUCUUCUGAUGGUUUCAGCACUGUCGUGCCUGGGAGGAUCAAACAAAGGCAACAAUCCAAC
rnacentral:misc_RNA from 1 species